ensembl:lincRNA
CUGCUGUAGGGGCCAGGCUUUAUCUUUUUGCAGGGUUCUGGGGGGCUAUCCAGCAAAGGACAGGGAGGCAAGGCCCUGCCCUCGGAUAGAUAUCUGCUUCAUGAGAUUUUUAAUCUGAUAGGAGCAAUAGUUCCCAACCCUGGGGUCUCUAGCCUGACAGGAAGACAUCUGGUCUUUUUCCCCAGAAGAUCUCUGAGACUGAUGGGAAGGCGCUAGUCAAUAUCCUCUCAAGCACCUUGCCUGAUGAAGGAGACUUGAUCUGACAUCAAUUUCCAGAAAGUUUCCAGGCUGAUAGAGGAAACACACUCUCAUCUGGAAAGCCAUCCAAGAUUCGGUGAAGACUUCCACUUGGCGUGAACCUCUCUUCAAGCACCAUUUCCUUAUGUAUGAACACAUGCCAGUCUUGCCUGGACUGACCUUCCUGAAUGCAGUACUUUAAUCAGCAUUUAAUGACCCAGUCGAAAAUUCAUCGUUUGGACCCAAGCACUGGUGGGAAGGCAGGAGGGGAGGCCUGCCUGCCUCCCUCCCUCCCUCCCUCCUGAGCCCUACAGCAGGCCAUGGAGUGGGACAAUCGUGUCAGCUGUGCCCCAAGAAACAUGAAAGCUCACCAAGGACAGCUUUGAAGUGGUCACUGUUCAUGGCCCUGACCGGGUCCUGGAGUAAAGGACACCAGCUUGGCGUGCUGACCUGAAAUACAUGAGUCUGGCAGUGAUAGGGCCCCUGGGAGCAGAAACCAGAGACAGGCACCCACAGCAAAGGAGCAAAGUCCAGAAAGCCCCAUCACAGCCUGAGAGAGCUGGGGCAAAAUAGAGGGCCUCAAGACUCUAGAAGAGACGUUUCAUAAGUCUCAUUGAAUUAAAGACCAAUUAGAAAAAAAAUUCAUGGGAAAUCAUUGAAAAACAAGUAAACCAUCCAAAGCCUGAGACUGUUUAAAAACAGCUUAUUGGAAGUCCAAAGACCAGACAGGUUGAGGAAUGAAGAAAACAUCUUCUGUGGUGAGAUGGUGACUUUAAAGUGACUUCUGUGGCAAAGAGGCAUCCUUUGCAAAUGGGAAGAUUGGCCAAGCUCAGAGAACGGGGUUUAGGUAAGUUAAUGGAAGAUAGCACCAUAAAAGGUUAUUAAGGGGAACCUGGCUCUACUUAGGAGCUACACUUGUGAUAUCUGGGGGAUGACUGCACAUUCCCAAGGCAGAGUCCUUGUGUCCUAACCUGAGACAGACAAUGGGCCCAGAACCCAGAAAAAAGGAGGCACUGCUGGGUCUCUGGUUAUUUCUAGGGGUCCUCCAUAUGGAUGUGAUAGUCCACUUCAAUUUUUCUUUUUUUUUUUUUUGAGACAGAGUCUUGCUCUGUCACCAGACUGGAGUGCAGUGGUGCAAUCUCGGCUCACUGCAACCUCCACCUCUCAGGUUCAAGCGAUUCCCCUGCCUCAGCCUCCCGAGUAGCUGGGACUACAGGCAUGUCCCACCACGCCUGGCUAAUUUUUUGUGUUUUAGUAGAGAUGGGGUUUUACCAUAUUGGCCAGGAUGGUCUUGAUCUCCUGACCUCGUGAUCCAUCCGGCUUCGCCUCCCAAAGUGCUGGGAUUAUAGGCAUGAGC